rnacentral:lncRNA from 1 species
CCCGGGGCAAGGAGGGGAGGCCAGGCAGCCGGAAGGAAACUCCUGAGCUUUUUACGGAAUGCAUAAGACAAAAGAGUGCUGCUUGCUCUGCAGCUGGUCCAAGAAGCUUCACCUCCCAGGAGCACCAGACAGAUGAUCUCCUGUUUACAGUGGUUCCAGGAGCACCAACCCCAAAGAUGAGUUAUAAGCAGGUCUCUAAAGAGAUUUUAGGAGAAGCUGCUAAAAUGGUGGCAAAGCUCUUUAGAAACAUAGAAGUAUGAACCUUUUUAUGGGGAGAACUUCUAAGAGUUUGGAGAGGUCUUCCAGGUCCACACAACCUCCCUGGAAAUGGCAAGGAGUUAUAAUUUCCAUUUUACAGAUGAAGAAAUGAAAAAGAGGAGAAGGGGAUGCCAUUUGCUCAAGGCUGCUGGAAUGCUAGGCUGGCUCUGGGACUAUCACGAAAAGUUUCUAACCCCCCGCCGCGGCUCUUCUCACAACACAAGAAUGAGCUCAGAGAGGUUAAUGAACCUGCCAAAGACCCCAGCUGAGAGACUGAGUUGGUUUGCAGAUUCCAAAGCCCACAUUCAUUCCAUUUUAUCUCAUCUUCAGUGGACUUUGAACAUGCCUCAGCCUUCACCUUGACCCUUGGUGAAGGUGCUGAGAACCAAGACCCAGUGCAGCGGUGUCUCUGGAACCUCCUGGAGCUCAGCAGCCGACUCCCAAACCUGGAGGUCCUCACUCGGCACCCUGUGCUCUGCCCUCUGGCUGAUCCUCAGCAUUCCCAGGCAGCCUGGCUCCCUGUAAAGUUGUUUAAACUUCUGUUUAUCAUCAUCUUCCAUCAUUUCUAAUUGUUUUCCUGUGUCCCUUUCUUUUGUAGAGGAUAUAAACUCAGCAUUUUAGCUUUUGAAAUAGAUUUGCUGUGCAGUUUCAUGGCUCUUUAGUGGCUUAAAAUGUAUUGUUCUGUGAGUCUUUCUGUGCCCGUCACAGCAUUCACUAUGGGAAGCAGCAGGACGCCAGCGAUGCUGAUGUUUAUUUGAUUUUAGGGGGCUUUAAGGCAUUCCUGGGACCAUACGGAUUCUAAAUAUUCUGCCUCAUUGUCUUCAGAAGCUACUAAAAUAUCCUAGAAAUGAUCAUGUUUCAGCAUGUAAGCUACAUAUUUCACAUUACCUCUUGUAUCCAUACAUACAUAGCCUCUAUCAAGAGCCUGGCAUAAGCCAAUGUAAUGGUUCUGAAAUGGUAACCACAUGGUUCUUCAAUCACUAAAACCCUUUCCACUCUGAGAUUGGACAUUCAUUGCUAUUUUCUGCCAGGGCUCUGAUGUACAAGACUGUCUAUGAGUUCUGUGUUUAAUAUACAGAACUGGCUGCCCUCAAUACAUGAGACUUCCUGGUAUUUUUUUCAUGUGAUUAGAUGGAUUACAUUUGUUACAUAUUUAUUGUUUAGAUAUACAAGUAAUCCUCACUUUGCACAGUGUCAUGUCUGCAUAUUGAAACCAUAUACUCACUUUGUGCAAUCCUUUGGUAAGUGCAAAGUGAGAACACAGGUCUGAUAGGUACAAGUUUCAGUGAACAUGCUACUAUGCAUCAUGAAGACUAUCUGAAGUUGCUUUCAAAUAAAAUUUGGAUAAGGACUGUAA